ACGUUCAUGUCUGUUUUCAGACUGUUCAGUUCAAACUAGUUGAACGCAGAGAUGUACGUCA
rnacentral:pre_miRNA from 1 species